GGCUUCGUGGCCUAAUGGCUAGGGCGCUAGAUUUCGGCGAUACUACCUGCGUAGUCAAUAUCUGAUUCUCUAGAGAUUGUCGGUUCGAGUCCGGCCGAGGUCG